rnacentral:rRNA from 1 species
GAUGAACGCUGGCGGCGUGCCUAAUACAUGCAAGUCGAGCGAACAGACGAGGAGCUUGCUCCUCUGACGUUAGCGGCGGACGGGUGAGUAACACGUGGAUAACCUACCUAUAAGACUGGGAUAACUUCGGGAAACCGGAGCUAAUACCGGAUAAUAUAUUGAACCGCAUGGUUCAAUAGUGAAAGACGGUUUUGCUGUCACUUAUAGAUGGAUCCGCGCCGCAUUAGCUAGUUGGUAAGGUAACGGCUUACCAAGGCAACGAUGCGUAGCCGACCUGAGAGGGGAGCGGGCACACUGGAACAUAAACACGGGCCAAACCCCCACGGGAGGGAAGAGGAGGGAAAUUUCCGCAAAGGGGGGAAACCCUGCGGGACAAACCCGCGUGAGGGAAUAAAGGCUUUGGAUUGGAAAAACCCUUUUUUUGGGGAAAAAAAAAUUGUAAAUAAACAAUCACGUUUUUGAGGGUACCAAUCCAAAAAGCCCCGGAAAACUCCGG